rnacentral:tRNA from 1 species
UCCUGGUGGCUCAGAUGGUAAAGAAUCUGCCUGCAGUGCAGGAGACCCAGGUUCUAUCCCUGGGUCGGGAA